rnacentral:rRNA from 1 species
UACGUAGGGUGCGAGCGUUAAUCGGAAUUACUGGGCGUAAAGCGUGCGCAGGCGGUUUUGUAAGACAGAUGUGAAAUCCCCGGGCUUAACCUGGGAACUGCGUUUGUGACUGCAAGGCUAGAGUACGGCAGAGGGGGGUGGAAUUCCUGGUGUAGCAGUGAAAUGCGUAGAGAUCAGGAGGAACACCGAUGGCGAAGGCAGCCCCCUGGGCCUGUACUGACGCUCAUGCACGAAAGCGUGGGGAGCAAACAGGAUUAGAUACCCUGGUAGUCCACGCCCUAAACGAUGUCGACUAGUCGUUCGGAGCAGCAAUGCACUGAGUGACGCAGCUAACGCGUGAAGUCGACCGCCUGGGGAGUACGGCCGCAAGGUUAAA